rnacentral:rRNA from 1 species
GGGUUGUGAGGUUAAGCGAAUAAGCGUACACGGUGGAUGCCCUGGCAGUCAGAGGCGAUGAAGGACGUGCUAAUCUGCG